rnacentral:rRNA from 1 species
CAGAACGAACGCUGGCGGCGUGCUUAACACAUGCAAGUCGAACGAGAAGCUCACUUCGGUGAGUGGACAGUGGCAGACGGGUGAGUAACGCGUGGCAACCUACCAUUUUCUACGGGACAACAGUUGGAAACGACUGCUAAUACCGUAUACGUCCUCCGGGAGAAAGAUUUAUCGGUGAAUGAUGGGGCCGCGUUAGAUUAGCUUGUUGGUGAGGUAAUGGCUCACCAAGGCGACGAUCUAUAGCUGGUCUGAGAGGAUGAUCAGCCACACUGGGACUGAGACACGGCCCAGACUCCUACGGGAGGCAGCAGUGGGGAAUAUUGGACAAUGGGCGCAAGCCUGAUCCAGCAACGCCGCGUGAAUGAUGAAGGCCUUAGGGUUGUAAAAUUCUUUCGCUAGGGAAGAUAAUGACUGUACCUAGUAAAGAAGCCCCGGCUAACUCCGUGCCAGCAGCCGCGGUAAUACGGAGGGGGCUAGCGUUGUUCGGAAUUACUGGGCGUAAAGCGUGCGUAGGCGGAUUAAUAAGUUAGAUGUGAAAUCCCAGGGCUCAACCCUGGAACUGCAUUUAAAACUGUUAGUCUUGAGUUCUGGAGAGGUAAGUGGAAUUGCUAGUGUAGAGGUGAAAUUCGUAGAUAUUAGCAGGAACACCAGAGGCGAAGGCGGCUUACUGGACAGAUACUGACGCUGAGGCACGAAAGUGUGGGGAGCAAACAGGAUUAGAUACCCUGGUAGUCCACACCGUAAACUAUGAGAGCUAGUUGUCUGCAUGCAUGCAUGUAGGUGACGCAGCUAACGCAUUAAGCUCUCCG